UUUGUAAAUGUCAUGCAGUACACAUUUACAUAUAUAAAUAUAAAUUUCUGUGCUCAUAACAGCAGCCGUAUUUCUCGAGGUAUAUUUCGCCAUGAGAACUGCACCGUACAGUACUUCACGCGGAAAGAUUUCGAAGUAUCAAAUUCUGUGGUUUUAGUUACAUGGGAUCCUCCAUAAACAGUUCUGGAAAGCGCCUGAAGUCAAAUUGAAGAUGGAUUCCACAAAUAGAUCGGACGUUUUUCUGGAUACAAUUGCGAAACAAUGUGGGGAUCUGCAUGCAUGAUGGAUGAAAACAAUUUUACCUGCGGUAAGCGACUUUUACCUUGCCCCUCCAAAGGCAGUGAAAAAGUUGAUGAGCAUGAAGAUUCUGAGAUUUCCCACGAGGGAGUUAUGGAGAGAUCCAAGAUAUAUUACCCACUAGACGUAUGGUGUAUACUGGCUAAAUACAUCGAACCCUUACAAAUUCAAACAUAUGCGUGCAUAUGUCGUUCAUCCUACCUGGCUAUAAAUUCAUCGACAUUUUGGAAUCAUCUUUAUAAACGUUAUAUCAAGGACACCGUACGUUUACCAAAAUGUUUAAUGCAAAAUUUUGGAGCAAAGCACAUCGGACUUAAAAUAUUUGUGAUACGAGCCCUUUUCCUCUUACACCCAAAUCUUAGCAGUCGAUUGAUGAAAGAGGAUUCGUUGGACAUUGACAAACUAUUGUUGCAACAGGUAAUUGGAUUACGUUGUUGCAACACUUGGUACAAAAUUGAAAGCUCAUUGGGCAGUUCACACGUUUACCUGUUUCGAUUUCAACUUAAAAGCGAUGGCAAGAAAGUGUCUGCGCCUAACCUUCCCGCCAUCAAUCAAGAUUAUUUAACUCGUAAUAAUGAAGAGAAUUAUGUUGUGCUACAAGUGAGAGUUCGAGAAUUUACACGUGUUCAUUUCAAAGCAAAUACCGUGCUACUAGAAGUAUCAGUAGAUACGGAUAAUGCACUUUUAACAAUGGAGUUUGGUUGUUCAGAUGUAGAUUGGAAUGUGGAAAACAAUCGAGAGAAUGUGGUUCUUAAUGCAGUUAGCGCCAUAAAACUGUUACGUUGGUGGCACCCAUCUUACCCACAUCGUAAUUAAAUUUUAAACCCGCAAAGAAAGAAAAUUAGUAUAUCACUCUGUUAAUUCUCCUUGUUCACAUUGCUUGUCGUUUCUUCUCGUCUUGUAAAAGAUCUUUUGAACGAAUGCAUAAGCCUAUUGGAAACAUGCACAAUGUAAAGCAUCAUGCUGAACAUUCUCUUCGUGUUAGCAGCAAUAAAUUCCUAGAAGCAAAUCAAACUACAUGGCGUAUGACAAGAAUACCAUAAUUGUAACAUGUCUUGUCAUACGUUUAUGUAGCAGUUUAUUUGCUUUUGUAUUAUUACAAUGCAAUUAUAAAAAAUUCUGGCCUCUGAUUGGUCCAACGACCUCGGAUUAUUACGCAAUAAUCAUCUAAGCGGUUUUUCAAAGGAGUUGUUUUUGCCAAAGUGACAGAUGAAGAAAUACGUUACUUUAUCAGAAAUGCUGAACCUGAAGAGGAAUGAAAAAAUUAUUUUCAAGACAAAAUACUACUUUGUA